GAUCAAGUGUUUAAGGGCACAUGGUGGAUGUCUAGGCAUCAGGAGCCGAUGAAGGACGUGGGAGGCCGCGAUAGGCCUCGGGGAGCUGUCAACCGAGCUGUGAUCCGAGGGUGUCCGAAUGGGGAAACCCAGCACCCGUCAUGGGGUGUUACCAACAUCUGAAUACAUAGGGUGUUGGAGGGAACGUGGGGAAGUGAAACAUCUCAGUACCCACAGGAAGAGAAAACAACCGUGAUUCCGUGAGUAGUGGCGAGCGAAAGCGGAGGAGGCUAAACCAGGGUCGUGUCAAGCCGGCAGGCGUUGCGGUCGUGGUGUUGUGGGAUUUCAUCGUUGGGGUUCUGCCGAGUCCCAGGCUGCGUGGUGUGAGGUUAGCGGAAGAUUUCUGGAAAGGGUCGCCGUAGUGGGUGAGAGCCCCGUACGCGAAAACACCACUCCCGGUUUGGGUGUUGCUCCCGAGUAGCAGCGAGCUCGUGGAAUUUGCUGUGAAUCUGCCGGGACCACCCGGUAAGCCUAAAUACUCCCUGAUGACCGAUAGCGGACUAGUACCGUGAGGGAAAGAUGAAAAGUACCCCGGGAGGGGAGUGAAAUAGUACCUGAAACCGUGUGCCUACAAGCCGUCAGAGCCGUAAGGUGAUGGCGUGCCUUUUGAAGAAUGAGCCUGCGAGUUAUGCUUCGUGGCGAGGUUAACCCGUGUGGGGUAGCCGUAGCGAAAGCGAGUCUGAAUAGGGCGUCCGAGUCGCGGGGUAUAGACCCGAAGCGGAGUGAUCUACCCAUGGCCAGGGUGAAGCGACGGUAAGACGUCGUGGAGGCCCGAACCCACCAGGGUUGAAAACCUGGGGGAUGAGUUGUGGGUAGGGGUGAAAGGCCAAUCAAACUCCGUGAUAGCUGGUUCUCCCCGAAA
rnacentral:rRNA from 1 species